UACGGAGUUACAAAGGACGACAUUAGACGAAUCAUCUGGAAAGAUGAAUCAAAGAAGGUAAUAAUCCUGUAGUCGAAAAUGUUGUCUCUCUUGAGUGGAUCCUGAGUACGACGGAGCACGUGAAAUUCCGUCGGAAUCUGGGAGGACCAUCUCCUAAGGCUAAAUACUCUCUAGUGACCGAUAGUGAACCAGUACCGUGAGGGAAAGGUGAAAAGCACCCCGGAAGGAGAGUGAAAUAGAACCUGAAACCGUGUGCUUACAAGUAGUCAGAGCCCGUUAAUGGGUGAUGGCGUGCCUUUUGUAGAAUGAACCGGCGAGUUACGAUUUGAUGCAAGGUUAAGCAGUAAAUGUGGAGCCGUAGCGAAAGCGAGUCUGAAUAGGGCGUUUAGUAUUUGGUCGUAGACCCGAAACCAGGUGAUCUACCCUUGGUCAGGUUGAAGUUCAGGUAACACUGAAUGGAGGACCGAACCGACUUACGUUGAAAAGUGAGCGGAUGAACUGAGGGUAGCGGAGAAAUUCCAAUCGAACCUGGAGAUAGCUGGUUCUCUCCGAAAUAGCUUUAGGGAUAGCCUCAAGUGAUGAUUAUUGGAGGUAGAGCACUGUUUGGACGAGGGGCCCCUCUCGGGUUACCGAAUUCAGACAAACUCCGAAUGCCAAUUAAUUUAACUUGGGAGUCAGAACAUGGGUGAUAAGGUCCGUGUUCGAAAGGGAAACAGCCCAGACCACCAGCUAAGGUCCCAAAAUAUAUGUUAAGUGGAAAAGGAUGUGGCGUUGCCCAGACAACUAGGAUGUUGGCUUAGAAGCAGCCAUCAUUUAAAGAGUGCGUAAUAGCUCACUAGUCGAGUGACACUGCGCCGAAAAUGUACCGGGGCUAAACAUAUUACCGAAGCUGUGGAUUGUCCUUUGGACAAUGGUAGGAGAGCGUUCUAAGGGCGUUGAAGCAUGAUCGUAAGGACAUGUGGAGCGCUUAGAAGUGAGAAUGCCGGUGUGAGUAGCGAAAGACGGGUGAGAAUCCCGUCCACCGAUUGACUAAGGUUUCCAGAGGAAGGCUCGUCCGCUCUGGGUUAGUCGGGUCCUAAGCUGAGGCCGACAGGCGUAGGCGAUGGAUAACAGGUUGAUAUUCCUGUACCACCUAUAAUCGUUUUAAUCGAUGGGGGGACGCAGUAGGAUAGGCGAAGCGUGCGAUUGGAUUGCACGUCUAAGCAGUAAGGCUGAGUAUUAGGCAAAUCCGGUACUCGUUAAGGCUGAGCUGUGAUGGGGAGAAGACAUUGAGUCUUCGAGUCGUUGAUUUCACACUGCCGAGAAAAGCCUCUAGAUAGAAAAUAGGUGCCCGUACCGCAAACCGACACAGGUAGUCAAGAUGAGAAUUCUAAGGUGAGCGAGCGAACUCUCGUUAAGGAACUCGGCAAAAUGACCCCGUAACUUCGGGAGAAGGGGUGCUCUUUAGGGUUAACGCCCAGAAGAGCCGCAGUGAAUAGGCCCAAGCGACUGUUUAUCAAAAACACAGGUCUCUGCUAAACCGUAAGGUGAUGUAUAGGGGCUGACGCCUGCCCGGUGCUGGAAGGUUAAGAGGAGUGGUUAGCUUCUGCGAAGCUACGAAUCGAAGCCCCAGUAAACGGCGGCCGUAACUAUAACGGUCCUAAGGUAGCGAAAUUCCUUGUCGGGUAAGUUCCGACCCGCACGAAAGGCGUAACGAUUUGGGCACUGUCUCAACGAGAGACUCGGUGAAAUCAUAGUACCUGUGAAGAUGCAGGUUACCCGCGACAGGACGGAAAGACCCCGUGGAGCUUUACUGUAGCCUGAUAUUGAAAUUCGGCACAGCUUGUACAGGAUAGGUAGGAGCCUUUGAAACGUGAGCGCUAGCUUACGUGGAGGCGCUGGUGGGAUACUACCCUAGCUGUGUUGGCUUUCUAACCCGCACCACUUAUCGUGGUGGGAGACAGUGUCAAGCGGGCAGUUUGACUGGGGCGGUCGCCUCCUAAAAGGUAACGGAGGCGCUCAAAGGUUCCCUCAGAAUGGUUGGAAAUCAUUCAUAGAGUGUAAAGGCAUAAGGGAGCUUGACUGCGAGACCUACAAGUCGAGCAGGGUCGAAAGACGGACUUAGUGAUCCGGUGGUUCCGCAUGGAAGGGCCAUCGCUCAACGGAUAAAAGCUACCCCGGGGAUAACAGGCUUAUCUCCCCCAAGAGUUCACAUCGACGGGGAGGUUUGGCACCUCGAUGUCGGCUCAUCGCAUCCUGGGGCUGUAGUCGGUCCCAAGGGUUGGGCUGUUCGCCCAUUAAAGCGGUACGCGAGCUGGGUUCAGAACGUCGUGAGACAGUUCGGUCCCUAUCCGUCGUGGGCGUAGGAAAUUUGAGAGGAGCUGUCCUUAGUACGAGAGGACCGGGAUGGACAUACCUCUGGUGUACCAGUUGUCGUGCCAACGGCAUAGCUGGGUAGCUAUGUGUGGACGGGAUAAGUGCUGAAAGCAUCUAAGCAUGAAGCCCCCCUCAAGAUGAGAUUUCCCAACUUCGGUUAUAAGAUCCCUCAAAGAUGAUGAGGUUAAUAGGUUCGAGGUGGAAGCAUGGUGACAUGUGGAGCUGACGAAUACUAAUCGAUCGAAGACUUAAUCAA
rnacentral:rRNA from 2 species